AAAUAUAAAAUUUAAAUAUUCUAAUAAUAUGAAAAUACUUAAGCUACUUUAUAAACACUUAUAGAUAAAUUAAAAAAAACAUUAAGCUACUCAUUGGUAUUAUAAUAGAGUAGCUUCUAUAUAAUCUGAAUAUACUAAUAAUAGGAAAUUACUUAAGCUACUAAUACAUCAUCGAGAGAGAAGAAAUUGAAAAGAGUAACCACUAAAAAUUUAAAUUUAUAGAGAAAUUGAAGCUAAAUUUAC
rnacentral:lncRNA from 1 species